AAAUGAAUAGACGGGGACCCGCACAAGCGGCGGAGCAUGCGGAUUAAUUCGAUGCAACGCGAAGAACCUUACCAAGGCUUGACAUGCACCGGUACAGUGUAGAGAUAUGCUGGCCUUUUGGGCUGGUGUGCAGGUGGUGCAUGGUUGUCGUCAGCUCGUGUCGUGAGAUGUUGGGUUAAGUCCCGCAACGAGCGCAACCCUUGUCUCGUGUUGCCAGCAUUUGGUUGGGGACUCUCGGGAGACUGCCGGGGUUAACUCGGAGGAAGGUGGGGAUGACGUCAAAUCAUCAUGCCCCUUAUGUCUUGGGCUUCACGCAUGCUACAAUGGAUGGUACAGUGGGUUGCGAUACUGUGAGGUGGAGCUAAUCCUUUAAAGCUGUUCUAAGUUCGGAUCGUAGUCUGCAAUUCGACUACGUGAAGGUGGAGUCGCUAGUAAUCGCAGAUCAGCAUUGCUGCGGUGAAUACGUUCUCGGGUCUUGUACACACCGCCCGU
rnacentral:rRNA from 1 species